CGGGAGGGGCAAGCGUUGUUCGGAUUCAUUGGGCGUAAAGCGCGUGUAGGCGGCUAAGCAAGUCGAGGGUGAAAGGUCUACGGCUCAACCGAGAUAUGGCCUUCGAAACUGCUUGGCUCGAGUUCGGUAGAGGUGAGUGGAAUUCCCAGUGUAGCGGUGAAAUGCGUAGAUAUUGGGAGGAACACCCGUGGCGAAAGCGGCUCACUGGACCGAUACUGACGCUGAGACGCGAAAGCGUGGGGAGCAAACGGGAUUAGAUACCCCGGUAGUCCACGCGGUAAACGUUGUGCACUAGGUGUAGGGGGUAUCGACCCCCCCUGUGCCGUAGCUAACGCAUUAAGUGCACCGCCUGGGGAGUACGACCGCAAGGUUG
rnacentral:rRNA from 1 species